rnacentral:rRNA from 1 species
UACCAGCACCCCGAGUGGUCGGGACGAUUAUUGGGCCUAAAGCAUCCGUAGCCGGUUCUACAAGUCUUCCGUUAAAUCCACCUGCUUAACAGAUGGGCUGCGGAAGAUACUAUAGAGCUAGGAGGCGGGAGAGGCAAGCGGUACUUAGUGGGUAGGGGUAAAAUCCGUUGAUCCAUUGAAGACCACCAGUGGCGAAGGCGGCUUGCCAGAACGCACUCGACGGUGAGGGAUGAAAGCUGGGGGAGCAAACCGG